rnacentral:lncRNA from 1 species
GAGAAAUCUAAUCGGCCCUCACUUUGGUUGCUCCCUGACUGCUGGUUUUCUGGACGUGGGGCCUGCUCCAGACCUUCUAUUCUGAGUUCCAUGCAGGAAGAAGACUUGUCUAUAUGAAGCUCCCUGGGAUUUUGCAGUUGUCCUAGAUGGAAAGCAUAGAUGCAGGAAUACCA